ensembl:lncRNA
GUUGUUGUCUACUUAGAAUGGAUUACAUUCACUGGGGCUUAGAGCUUAUAUCUCAGUUCUCUGCUUUUCAAUGACUGGUUGAAGGAUAACUUGCUUAUGGCAAAACAUAACUUCAUCUGCUCGCACACUAGUAAUUGCUGCAUGAGGGAAUUAUAGGAGAUGAGGGACGUCUUCAUCUGGAAGGCACCCAUCAAGAGUUCAGGACUUCAGAGGAAGGAGUCACCACCAUCAGGAACUCAACUUUAACUGCUACUGGCAACCAGGACUCAAGAAGGAACCAACACUGAAAAUGAUAAAAGAAUGGAGAGUUUAUGCAGCCCAUUAGAUUUGUAUUUUCAUGUUUAAUGUAAAGGUCAAGACAUUGCUGUAUCUAUUAUGGUUAUUUAGUUUAGUAGGCUGUAUGACAUUAUGUAGGAUAUUGUGUAUUUACAGUGUUAUUACAUAUCUCAUAAAAUCGAAUUGCUAGUAGAAUUACCACAGCUCCUGACAAUGGUCAGACCAUGGGCACUAUCAGUCACACAGGCAUAGUAGCCAGAAUCAUAUAGACUUUUACCAGCAGAGAGGCUGACCAGAGAAGUCAGACCAUAGCAAUAGAAUGAAUAGAACAGGCUUGGAAGCUCUAAACCUGGCAAUUUGACUGGUAAACUCAUGGGUCCACUUGCAAUGGCUGCCUGGUAUUGUGAUGCAAUCAUUUCCAUUUAAUUUUGGAAUGUUAUAUCAACUGAUCCUGGAUUGCCAUAGUAAAAUAGAAUAUUAAUUCAAAUGAUGCUAACUGAAGUGGCUCAUGCAAUGGAAUAUAUUUUUUGUCAUGCCAGUUGAGUUUACACAACAAAUCACAGCACAGAAUGAAGAGUACACUUCCUGCUUUUACUUACUGGCAUGGGUACACUCAAAAUGGCUGCCAGUCCACCCACUAUGCCAUCAUUGACUUGAAUGGAGAAGACUUUUCUAUUCAUUAUAUUUCUAUGAGUCAGACCCUGUGAUUUCCAGUGAUGUACUACUGCCACCCAGGCAUCCCUGCAGUGCAGUGGGUCUGGUCUUGGAGGGAGGAGGGGAGGGAAGGGGAGGACUGAGUGAGCGGGUCUUUGUUUUCCGAGGGCGGUAUGGUAAUCACAUCAUAAUGUUAUUUAGAUCCAUUGGUGUGCUGGUGCUCCCCGCGUUGCUGGCCCUGCAAAUCUAAGGUCAAGAGCCAUGGGGGUGACGGGUUACAUUUGCAAAACAUGGAGGCGCACCACGUCCCCCUGGACUAAGGAAGUGUCUGAGCCUGGCGUUGUAUCUUGUUGUACCUCUAGUGCCCCAUGCUGCCUGCUCACACUAGUCACACGUUUCGGCCUUUCCCCCGCCAGCCUUGUCAAAGUGAAGACCACUGACAGCACUUCCCACAACUGAGGCCCACUGUCCUCCUCUCAGCUAGCUCUUCAAGCAGUCAAAGAGUGAGCUGAGUCGGAAAUCACCCUGACUUAUUCCAUUUAAACUUAUUCCACUUAUUCUUCUACUUAUAAAGUUUUAUCAGUAGCAGUAAGCCAAUACUUACUAAUACUAUUGCUGCAGGUGUGAACCACUGAGCAGAUUUUUAUAUGUGGUCCUUGUUGUAAAGUUAUCUCCAAUGUUGCUUUCUCUGUUCUAUGCCUGCCUCACUUGAAUGAGAAUUAUUGACCUGUCAACUUUGAACAAAAAGUCAUUCUAUUCCACUUUCCAGAGCAUUUCAAAUGGAGUAUGUUUCCAAGUGAGCAGUGAGAGAAAUGUGGCAUCUCUCAUUACUAAGAUCCCUCAGUAUCACACUUCAUAUUUAAUUUCAAGGCAGAGGUGAUUCUCAACAUCCUUACGUGUUAUUUAAGUGGGAUGAUUUGAGAAAGGCUGAAACAAGGAAUCAUGUCAUAAAUGGAACAAUGGCAAAAUAUCUGAAAAUGUUGAGAUAUGACUAACAUUGUUGUUUUUCUUUUAUUCCUAGUUCUCUGUUUGCUCUAAUUCAUAUGUGUGCAUGAAUUGAUACAAAAUGUAAAAAUAAUUUUGGUUAGCUAAAAAAGUGUACUGUAAGUAUGAAUAAUAAUUCAAAGUUCGACCAUUUGAGAUUCUGAUGGGAUUUCUUCAUGUACAAUCAAUGCCUGAGUGAAGCCUUUUUUUCAAAUAUAGAAGCUAGGUUAUCGAGCAGAACACACUACCAUACUCAGAAAUGGAAUUAAACAGUAAGGCUAGAUAGUUAAAUUGUCAUGAUGUUUUUGUUGUCUGUUGUCAUACAAAAUAGGUGUUCAUCAUAGGGUUAGAUACACACCAAAUAAAAAUGCAGACUGG